UAAAAGAUCAUAUCAUUCGCUCUUGCUCUUCAUCUUCGUUAAAAAUCCGUCGUCGGUGAUCGUAUCGCCUUCGAUAAGAAGUAAUCAUGGCUGGAGUGGAGCCGAUCUCUCAGAACUAGGAACCGGUGGUGGUCCGCAAGAAAGCCCCCAACGCCGCCGCCAAGAAGGACGAGAAGGCCAUCAAUGACGCCAGGCGCAGCUGCGAUGAGAUCGAGACCAUCAGAAAAUGGACAGUGGGAAGCAGGUUUAUUUGGGCAUGGUACGGGAAGAUCAUUUAAAAGCCUGUCAACACUAGACUAGAAAUUUUUGAGGGGGAAAUGACCACAGAAGUUUCUUCGGCUUGAUCACUAUUAUUUAAGACAAGUUAAUUUUCCCCAUUAAACCCGUCUUAUUUAGAUAACUCAUUGCAAAUCUGUUUUACUAAAGAACCAUUGGUGGAGGAAUACAGCAUUGCAACUUCAAUAAAGCUCCUUCUCAUGAUUCUUCUUUAUAUUGUACCUGUGAGAUGUUAAAUUUUACUUUUCUUUUAACAGUUUUGGAAGGUGAGUGCAUGUGAUAUAUGUGAGAUUGCUACGAAUUCAGUUUACCAAUCUGGCUUUUCACAUGCUCUUAAGGUAUGUGAAGUUCAAUUUGAUUCUAUUGAAAUUGAUAUAAAUUUUCUUGAAGGAUAGUACUUAACUCCAAAUUGUUAGAUAAAAUUACACUUAUGACUUUAUGGAUGCUAGCUCUGGGAAUCUUUCUAUCCAAGUCACUGGUGAUAAUUGACAAUUCUUUGUUAAUGUGCAUAUCCUAUCAACAAUACUAUCGCUUUGGAAAUAUCUUCAAAUUGAUUUUCUUGGUCAUAAUAAUAUUGAGCAUAUACCAAUUGUAUAAAUAAUUGGAAGCUUCUUUUGUAAUGAAUGGUUCCAAAAAUUAUUGAACAACCAUCAUCCAGUACUCUUCAGAACAUACAUUAAUAAAUAAUGCUAUUGUUGUGAAUUCAAGAAUGUUUUCUUGACUCACAAUUCAGUAAACGUACAGGCCAUUCAAUUUCAUCAUUGAGUAUAAAGUGCUUAUCUCUAAGUGCUUUUACCAUAUCUUAAUCUUACCGAAGUCCAUUUGUUGUAGGUCAUUCAGUUCCAACAAUUAGAGUAAAAAUGUAAAAUGCUUAUCUUUAGUUUCUUUUCGGCUUUUCCAAUAUCUUAAUCUUACUGUAGUUUGUUCUGUGGUCUCAAAAAAUACUAUAAAAAAGAGGAACCGAUGGUAAUGACAUUCAUAAGACUAAUGUGACACACAUUCGGCUAGAGUUCCGUGAUAUAGUGUGUAAACCUUUUAUGAGAUUUUUUUUUUCUCCUUGCAUUUUUCCUUUUAGAUGAAAUGAAAGUAUUAGAUCAUCAGUUAUGUUCUCUCAUUUGAAAUGUGUAGUUUUGGAGAGAGGCGAUGCAACUGGUUUAUACAGGCAAGGCUAAAAUACAUGACCACUAUUUAUCUAUUUACUUACUUAUUUCAUGAACUUGUAUUAGCUAAUUAAUUACUAUGCUUAUUAUAUGUGUAUUGCUUUUAGUCUUAAUUGGCAACAUCAGCUUUGCAAGAACCCUCAACCCAAACCUGACAUUAAAACACCUUCUACGAAUCACACGUGUGCUCCUACUAACGGAGCAAGGCCGCCGCCAUCAACCAAUGGUCCCCUUGUAGGGCCAAUUCCUAAGUCUGGGCCAUUUCUUCCUCUACGUACUAAUAGCGUAAGUGAGGACACAAUUGUGAAAUAUUUCUUGCUUUUCCAUAUCCUCUCUAAGGUUUAAAAAUCUUUGAUUCUUAAUUUGUGAUAUUUCGUCCAUUCAACCAUUUUAGCAUGUUGUUUCUCCAUCAGCAAGUGCAAUUGCAGGUUGGAUGACAAGUGGCAAUCCAUCCAUACCCAAUGCAUGAGCUUGGGUUUCCAUCCACAACAUCAAACAUUUCUUAUAGAGAGCAUAAUAUACUAUUAAUUACUAUACACUUUGUCUACUAUUUUGAUAUUAUUAAAACACAAUAUACCAACUUCUUUCUCAUGAAUUACACAACCUGAGGUCAUAUCGUUUUACGUUUGGAAGAUACUUGAAUCUUAUAAUACCUACACCAAAGUAGUAAAAAAUGUAAUACGGAUAGAAUUACUAAAUCAGAUUCCAGUCUGAAAAUCAUAUAAAGUAUCACUUAGUAUGACCAGGUUUUACAUCUAUUAGAACUCUAAAUCUUAAUACGACCAUAUUUUCCAUCUUUUAAAACUCUAAAUGGCAAUAUGAUUCCUAUUACCUUCUGGGAAACUAAUCUUAGUUCACAGGGAUAUAUCAAUACAACAGUUAAUGCAUAGAGUACAAUUCUAGCCCUCUUUUGCCGAUAAAAUUUGUAAAAACCCUAUGCAUCAACCAAUAGAAAUCCCAUCGGUUAAUAUAACAUCGAAAGAAUUGCAUCAAGCUUUAGGCUUCAUGCACAUGAAUAAGACCUUGGCAAGGCUCUCAUAGGUCUGAUUCUUCAAGUACUUAUUCCUGCACUUUUCUUCUCCCAUUUGCUCCCAUCUUUUUCCUUAUAGACGGUUUGCUUAGAAGAUAUUGAAUGUGUUGUGCAAGCACCUGAGUUCCUUCCUGGCCUACAGGUUGUAGAAGGUCAGUUACUCUGUGAUCUACGAUCUCUUUAGUUCCUCCUGCAUUAGUUUCGAAGAUCUGCAGUAGAAAAACACUUUUUUUUAAAUGUAUUUAUCUGUAAACUUCAUCCUUAUUGUUAACGCUAUAUGGGGUGAGUUAUGGCAUGCUGGUUUCUUUCUCAAAACAGAAAUGAUAACUAGAGUAUAGAAACUAUGUUCAUUUGCAUGCAGUCUGUUACUCCUCUUGCAAGGAGAUAAACGUAUUGACAAGAUAAUACAAUUUUUUUGAUAUGUUAUAUGAAGAAAGAUAUGUUCAUCCUAACCUCAGUAAAUAUUCCAUAAAGGAAAGAAAUCUGUAGAUUUUACAUGCAACCAAAAACUGAGGUCUGCAGAAAAUUGUCAAAAUUUCUUUUACCACGAAAAAGGGUGUCAACUAUUGGUAAAAAUCUCGUGAAACCCAGUCUUGAAACAUCCAAUUUGAAUUUUUAAUUGUAAUUUAAAAUCAAAGAGAUCUCGUUGUGACCACCUCUUAUUUCGUUCUUAGCUUUCUUCCAUAUAACUUGGAUGAUUUGCACAUUGAAUGUAGUUUUAUAUUUCUUUGAUCUACCAAGGUACUUCCACUUAGCUUGCUGUAUCAGCCAUGGUGAUCAAGUUAGAAAGCUAUUCUCUAGCACUUAACAGCAACAUAUCUUAUUUACUUACCUAUCCAUUCCAAUUUAGUUUACAUAGUACUGAGUACACUAGAAAGGCUAGCACACAAGAAAUUUAAGGUUUGGGAUGUCCAGGAUUGUUCAGUGCCUCUACCGUUAUCUACUUCAACUCUACCUUUCCAAACAAAACUUCAUAACAUGAUGCCAUUAUAGUUCUAAUUCAUGUGCGUUUUGUCGGAUUUUCUCAUCUCGAUCUAUUCCUCAAUAUAUAACUUGCGCCAAAUUUAGGCAGACUUGAUGAAAGAUGCAACAAUAUAUGUCAACCGUUGGAGCCCUGAUGGUGUUGUUAUUGGUAUUGAUUAAUUCAAAUGCUUUUCUUAUUUAAUGAUGUUCCAUUUAUAGAUGGAUUCCUUCUUUCGUUAUGGGGAGGGGGGGCAAUGAGAUUUUUCUCACUGAUAACUUUUGCUCUGCUCUCUGCUAGGUGUUGCAUUCUAUAAACAUCUCAUACAGACGUAUGCUUAUAUUCCUAAUGGAGAACUCAUUCAACAAUUGGAGCCGAGUUGUAAUUUUGAUGUGUGUAGGCAACCAUAUAUCACUCACUCACAUGUUCCGCCUGCAUAAAUUGAUGCUCAUGUAGGUGUGUCAAUGACAUUGCACUUUCGCAACCCAAUAAGAGCUUGACAGUGCAUUUUUGCAUCCCAAUAAGAGACUGUCUAUUAUCAUAUGUGGUGAUGAUAAGACUAUUAAGGUAAGGAUGACGAUGAUAUAUGUGAUGUCCGUGCUUUAUACAGAUUAGAACUAAAGUUUGUUGAUUCAAAAAAGAGUUCAAAUGCAAAGGUAGCAAGUGAUUCUCUUGUGAAUCUUCAGCAUAAAGUGUGGUGGUUUAAUAUGGAGAAUGCUAAAGAUGACAUGUUAUAUUUAAAGGGAAGGAUAAAGUUCAUUGAGUGUUUUAGAAUUUAUAUGGGAUUGUGAAAUUUUCAUGUGUGAAUAUAUGUACUCACACAUUAGGUAUUGCAAAGGUUUAGUCAAACUUCUAAUGCCAUGAGUUUGGUUUUACAGUCACAUGAUCAAACAUUACUAUUAGGUAUAUUCUUGUGACGGUAUUUGAUUGAUCGAUCAUGUUAUAGAUGCAACCAGUGUACUAUCGCCCAAUCAAUUAAUAAAUGUAAUUUCAUUGUUCAAAUGUUGAAUGUCUAUAUGUUUGAUCCAUUGCUCACAUUCAAUAAUAUAAUAACAAAUCUUUCACUUAAUAAAUUUAUAAAUUUUAAAUAAAUAAUAAAAAAAUUUACCACGUGCAUUGCACGUGUAAAAGUUACUUGGCACGAUUGCUCGCUCUCAUGUUGGUCUCAAUGAUGCUCAAAAUAUUCAUUCAUCAUUCUACUCAGCAUUUGGUGGCAGCGCAACUGUUGAUCCAUCAUCAUUAAACACUUAGAAUGUUGAUGUCCUUGUAGAUUCGAUUAAGCAGCUGGUGAGGGAUCCCGUCUGUUAUAUUUCCCCUCCACUAUUUAAUGGUCAAGCAUGCUAGGGCUUGUGAAGAUUAGUAGCUCAUUUUUAAUUGAUGAUUUACAUGCAGGCUCCUAAAACAUAUUGGACUUGUGUUAUGGAAAAUCUUGAUCAUGAAGGUUUCAACAUUCCCGACGAAACAUCAUUUUCUCUUCUGAUGUCUAUAUAUAAUAAAGCUUGUGAGGUAUCUUUAAAUUCCUCAAUUUACUCUGAAUAGUAUAUAAGUAUUAGCAUGUUCCUCUUUGACUUGACCAACACCAACUAUCCAAGCCCCUUUUCCCCUCCAUGCUAUUUGUGGUUUAGUCUGGCAGAAUGCAGAGGGACAAUUAUCUUUUCUGAGACAUGUCGUGUCUGCACCACCUGAUGUAUUUACAUUUGCACAUUGUUCAAGA